ensembl:lncRNA novel transcript
UCCCCGCACAGAGAGAGAGGGCGCUUCCUCCGCAGGCUUCCCUGCCUGCUGGGGGCCAGGGAGGAGACCAGCUUGUUGGAAGCGGAGACGUCUAAGGAGUUUCCAAAUAGGAAAACCAGCGGCUGCAGGCCUCAGGACGUGGCCGGGCGAGCCGCAGCCUCAUCCCGCGAGCGGGCGUUCCUGAGCUGCCUGCACCGUAGUACCUUCAUAUGCUUUAAAAAUGUAAAGCGGCCGGGAGCGGUGCCUCACACGCCUGUAACCCCGGCACGCUGGGAGGCUGAGGCAGGAGGAUUGCCUGAGACCAGGAGUUGGAGGGCAGUCUGGGCGACAGAGGGAGACCCCCCGUCUCGACAAAUAAAAUAAAAUAAAGAUAUAAAGAUCUGGAA